CAGAAAAGCCUGUCGCAGAGAUGCCACUCAUCAUGCGCUGAGGCUCCCUCCACUUCAGCCCUUGCUGCUGCAAUUCGAAGAAGGCACCUUGGCAAAGCUAAGCAUUUAUGUUCUCUUAGGAGGUGUUUGUGCCUCAUCUCUGCCCUCCAUUCCUAAGCUUCAUGGAAUAACAUCCAGACUUUGGGAACUGUUGGUUGUAGGCCCUUGAUGGAAGGAGAGAAACCUUGUCUGUGUCAUGUCAGGACACAGCAACGAGGCAGUUGGCUGCGAGCCGGGAAGAGGGCCCUCACCAGGAGCCACAUCUGCCAGCACCUUGAUCCUGGAUUUCCAGCCUCCAGAACUAUGAGAAGAAACUAUCUGUUGUUUAAUCCAUCCAGUUGGUGGAAUAUUGUUACAGCAGCCUGAGCAGACCUAACGCACACUGAUAGGCAGAAAUUAAGGACAAAAUAUACCAAAAUAGGGGUUAUCUCUGGGCACCAAGACUACAUGCCAUUAUUCAAUUUUUUCCAUCAGUAUGCUAAACAUAAAAGCAUGGAAAAGAAAUAUUGGGCCAGCUCUGGGGCAGUGUGACAAUGGCCUCUCGGGUAGAUCCCACAGAGUGACUGCAGUUCAAAUCGCCGGCCUGGUCAGCCUGAAACACACAGGGCACGUGUGUGUGCCCAAGAUGCAAAGGGCUGGAGGACCGGAGGAUGGGCAAGGUGUGUGACCAGACUCUGUGGGGGGUGUUCAUCCUUCUCUCUCUUUCUCUCUGGUAUGUACAAAUACUCUAUAAUGAGUAAUAGCAAUAAAGGAAAUAUUAAUGAUGUUAGGAAAAUAAAAAAGUAACU